AUGGUUUCCCAAAAUUUUCCGCACUCAAUUUUGAAGGUCUUUCUAGGGAUCAAAUUUGGUUUUGCCAUGUGAACAUUUUAAUUAAUUUUAAUUAAUGUUCAAAAAUUUCAAACGCUUCUUGGUGGAAUGAGCCUAAACUGCCAACUAGUUUUCCAAAAAAUUAAAAAAUUUUAAAAAAAUUCAAAAAAAUAAAAUAAAAUAAUUUGCUCCAUUGUGGCACGAGCUUAAACUGCCAACCAACUUUCCAAAAAAUACUCCUCGGUGGCAUGAGCCUAAACUACCAACCAACUUUCCAGAAAAUUUCAAAAAGCUCAAAAAAAUAAAAACGCUCCUCCGUCGUAUGAGCCUAAAUUGCCAACCGAUUUCAAAAUCUUUUGCUCCUCUAUGGCAUGAGUCUAAACUGCCAAGCAAUUUUAGAUAGGUUUUUUGCUCCACGGUUGCAUGAGCCUAAACUGCCAACCAGGAUUCAGAUCGUCAAACUUGUGCCACGUUAAAAAAUAAAUCUAAUACAUCAAACUCGUGUGACUUUAAAAACCCGAGCUAAAACGUCAAACUCGUGCGACGUUAAAGAGUCGAGACAGGAAAAACAUCAAACUCAUACGACAUUAAAGAGCCGAGAUAGGAAAAAACGUCAAACUCGUGAGACGUUAAAGAGCUAAGACAGGUAACGUCUAGUGCCGUAUGGCAUAAAAUUUCAGAUGUGUUUAGGGCACAACCACCCUGUUCAAUGUGUUCAGGGCACAACCACCCUGUUCAUGUGUUCAGGGCACAACCACCCUGUUCACACGUAUAACCUCGUAUGAUGCUAAAGGUCGGGUAUAUCCAGUUCAACGUCAAACUCGUGCGAUGUAAAAGAGCCGAGGCAGGUAAAGUCUAGCCUCGUACGACGUAAAAUUUUGGAUGUGUUCAGGGCACAACCACCCAGCUCAAUGUGUUCCGGGCAUAAACACCCUGUUCACAGGUCUAGCCCCGUAUGGCGUAAAAUUUUCGGAUGCAUUCAGGGCACAACCACCAUCUUCAAUGUUGUUUAGGGCACAACCACCCUGUUCAACGUGUUCAAGGCACAACCACCUUGUUCAAACGUCUAUCCUUGUACGAAGUAAAAGGGUCAGGUGUAUGGUCCAUAGUUGCACGACCCUAAACUGCUUAGAGGGCUCAAUAGUUGCUGGAGUCAAAACUGCUAACCUGCUUUGUUUUUCAAAAUAUCUUUCUCUCUUCAAAAUUUUCAUUAUGGGUCUAUGAUUUCAAAAACUUUAGUUUCUUUGUUAAAAUCAUAACCUGUCCCUGCUCCGGUUCUAUUUCAAAUCUCCUCCUAGUUUCAAAAUUUCUAAAACAUUUUCUAAAAUGAAGGACCUUGGACACUCGUAUAUGAUGAAUACCGUGUUUGCCGUGUUUACCGUGUUGUUGCCUCAUCUCUCUCUUCGGAUUUAGCCAGACAAUUCUCUUCCUAUAGAAAGCUUUUCCUAUAGACAGCCUUAGGAAAACCAUAAGAAAAUCAAAGAAAAUGAAAGGAUUAAAAAUUUCAAAAGGUAAAACCCUUAAAUUUAAGUGACAUGGCUAUAAAAUCUACCUCGAGUUUCAAGCUUGCGAACUCGCAGCCGAAAACCCUCGGAUGAAAAUGCCUUAGGUGGGUAAGCUUGGGAGCGCAAUGACUUAGAGGGAUAGUUGAUGUGCCUUCUGCCCCAUGACGUCAACACAAAAUUUAAAAUGUCUACUUUAUCUUUGAAUUUCGCCUUCCCCUCGAAGGACAGGGAACGCCAAAGUGUCUACUUCUUUGCCACUCUGCUGUCCCACGAAGGACAUGGAGUGCCAAAGAGGGGCAACUAGAGACACCCCUUUUAAAUCUGGCAAAUUUUGUGGUUUUCUUGGAACUUUAGGAUCACAUUGACGUAGUGAACCCAAAAUCCAUAGGUCAUACAAAUUACCCUUGGACCCAGAACCAUUCUACCAGCCCAGAAACCCUGUUACACCCUGUUUGAGCCCUGAUUCUUGUAAAUUCCCUGUUUCAACAAAAACAUCAUUAAAAAGAGUAACAAAAUUCAUUUUGACCCAAAUUUUCUCCGAGAGCUUCAGAGAGGCUGAGGAACACAUCAGAGUGAAAAAACUCGAUUUUGACAAAAUUUGGUUUGUGCGGCACUACUUAUGCCGCCCAAAUCCGUGAACCUCCAAAACAUAUUUUGAUUGGGUGAAUACGUGGGUUGCAGGAGAUAUUCCCCCCAAGAUAAUUUCCCUAUUUUGAGGAUCUCUUGGGGACCAUUUUAAGGGGAGAUUGGAGAGAGAAAGAGAGGAGGAACUGAUGGAGAAAAAAAGAAGAAAAGAAAACGCAAAGAGAACACAGGAGAGAGGGAGAGAAACCUGAGAGAGAUGAAAAACUUGGCAGAAAGAAAAAGACAAUACAGAGAGAGAAAACCCUAGAAUUUAAGUGAGAAAACCUUAGCCUCCUGAGAGAGACCCAGAUCUAUCCUUAGGAUAAAACCCUAAUCCAAGAGAUUGGCUGGCUAAUAUCUGGAUCAGAGAGACAUGAGAGGAACCAGUUCUGAUACGGGUGAGCCCUCAAGGGCUCUAGAGUCCCGGGCCAUCCGGCCUAGUCAGAUACUCAUUCUCUUUUCAUUUCUUCCUUAUUUUAUUUUAUUUAUUUGUUUUGAUAUGAUUUUUAUUUGUUUUGAUUAAAAAAUAGCAUUUUAAAUUGCUUUAGAUCAUGCUUGCUUUGCCACAGAUCUUAUAGUAGAUCUGCUCUUUCUGGGCAGAUCUGAUCUCAGAUGAAUUCGAUUAUUCCCACUUUCUCUACCAUUUCGUUAUAUUUCAUAUUUAUCAAUUUAAAGUGUCUGAUUUGAGUGAUCUUCGAGGAUAGAUCACUUCAAUUUUGUGCUGUAAACAAUUCUAGGGACUUCAAAACAAUACCAGACCACCGCUGUUGGAUCCAAAACGUGGAAGAACCCCUAGGGACCAAAUUUGGGAUCAAUCGGACCUCUUAAGUACAUUCUGGGCCCAAAUUACCUCUAAAGGACAAAGUCGUAUGCUAUUACGGUGGGACCUCACCAAAAUCAGUCCCCAAUCAUGGAGAUCGAUAUCUUCACUCAUAGAGAUGACCUAUAAACACCCACACGGUGCUUGAUUGAAUUCGGAUUAAGCUCAAAUUUUGACCCAACAUAGGUCUCGACGACCCGGUCAUUUUGAUAAAUGGCACACAUCGUCACAUGACCUAGAAUCAAUAUUUUUCUAGAGAGAGAUGAGCAUGAAACCAUAAAAAAUAGAGCUUUUGAAGAAAAGGGCGUCUCGAACUUCGUGACGCAAUAAACUCAAGAACUGUACAUUGGAUCAUCGAAAGGAUAGGCCCGAUCGAACCGUAUCACUAAGGGCUACAAACUGGUAUAAGUGUUGCAUUCAAUCCAAGGUCAGAUAAACCAUGAAAUUCAAGGAAGAAGAAAAUAAAAGGCCGUCCGGUUGCCGGAAUCUCUUUUUCUGGUGUUCUCUCGAAAACGGAAAGUACUUCAAGCAAAGACUAAAAUGGAUAAAGUUGGUGCAAAACGACUGUGGAAGUCUCCUCUUUAAUUUUCAAUCAAAAUAAAAACUUGAAACACCAUAGAUGGCAUUACAGUGAUGGCCAAAAGCUCACGAUCUAGCCAAAUUUCCACCGCCUAAGAAAGAGUUUACCGCAAGAUGAUCAAAAGACGCCAAAAUCUUCAGAAUCAAACAAGCAUCAAGACUACGAUGAUCGAUCGUCUCAAAACACCGUCACAAGCAUCCGAAAAAGCUUCCAAGAUCUGGUAAUGGUAAAAGGCCCCUCAGUGAAGGAUGGUUUCGUCAUUGGCACAAAAAGUUUAAGGGGCAUUUUGGUUUUCAUUCUAUAAUUCGAGAUUUUAUUGUAAUUUUUUUUAAUUGUAAUUAGGUUCAGUUUUGUGCAUCCACCUCUACUUUGUGGAUGCUCUAUUGGGCAAUUGUAAAAAAG
rnacentral:lncRNA from 1 species